rnacentral:rRNA from 1 species
UUCCGGUUGAUCCUGCCAGAGGCCACUGCUAUCAGAGUUCGAUUAAGCCAUGCGAGUCGAGAGGUGCAAGACCUCGGCAUACUGCUCAGUAACACGUGGACAAUCUAACCUACGGAAGAGGAUAACCCCGGGAAACUGGGGAUAAUACUCUAUAGACUAUGGAAGCUGGAAUGCUCUGUAGCCGAAAGGUCCGCCGCCGUAGGAUGGGUCUGCGGCCGAUUAGGUUGUUGUUAGGGUAACGGCCCAACAAGCCUGUAAUCGGUACGGGUUGUGGGAGCAAGAGCCCGGAGAUGGAUUCUGAGACACGAAUCCAGGCCCUACGGGGCGCAGCAGGCGCGAAAACUUUACAAUGCGGGAAACCGUGAUAAGGGAACUCUGAGUGCCCGUUAAAUCGGGCUGUCCAUCAGUUUAAAAAACUGGUGAAGAAAGGGCCGGGCAAGACCGGUGCCAGCCGCCGCGGUAAUACCGGCGGCUCGAGUGGUGGCCACUAUUACUGGGCUUAAAGCGUUCGUAGCUGGUUUGUUAAGUCUCUGGGGAAAUCUUCCGGCUUAACCGGAAGGCGUCUCAGGGAUACUGGCAGACUAGGGACCGGAAGAGGUGAGAGGUACUCCAGGGGUAGGAGUGAAAUCCUGUAAUCCUUGGGGGACCACCUGUGGCGAAGGCGUCUCACCAGGACGGCUCCGACAGUGAGGGACGAAAGCUGGGGGAGCAAACCGGAUUAGAUACCCGGGUAGUCCCAGCCGUAAACGAUGUGCAUUAGGUGUAUCGGUGACCACGAGUCACCGAGGUGCCGAAGAGAAAUCGUGAAAUGCACCGCCUGGGAAGUACGGUCGCAAGGCUGAAACUAAAAGGAAUUGGCGGG